rnacentral:rRNA from 1 species
CAGCCCCCGGUAAAACGUAGGUGGCAAGCGCUGUCCGGAAUUAUUGGGCGUAAAGGGCUCGCAGGCGGUUUCUUAAGUCUGAUGUGAAAGCCCCCGGCUCAACCGGGGAGGGUCAUUGGAAACUGGGAAACUUGAGUGCAGAAGAGGAGAGUGGAAUUCCACGUGUAGCGGUGAAAUGCGUAGAGAUGUGGAGGAACACCAGUGGCGAAGGCGACUCUCUGGUCUGUAACUGACGCUGAGGAGCGAAAGCGUGGGGAGCGAACAGGAUUAGAUACCCCCGUAGUCCCUGUCUCUUAUACAC